rnacentral:rRNA from 1 species
AGGUAAGCUACUAAGAGCGAAUGGUGGAUGCCUUGACUGGUAAAGGCGAUGAAGGACGUACUAGACUGCGAUAAGCUACGGGGAGCUGUCAAGAAGCUUUGAUCCGUAGAUUUCCGAAUGGGGCAACCCAAUGUAUAGAGAUAUACAUUACCUAUAUAGGAGCGAACGAGGGGAAUUGAAACAUCUUAGUACUCUCAGGAAAAGAAAUCAAUAGAGAUUGCGUCAGUAGCGGCGAGCGAAAGCGCAAGAGGGCAAACCCAGUGCUUGCACUGGGGGUUGUAGGACUGCAAUGUGCAAGAGGUAAGUUUAGCAGAACAUUCUGGAAAGUAUAACCAUAGAGGGUGAUAGUCCCGUAUGCGAAAAACAAACCUUAGCUAGCAGUAUCCUGAGUAGGGCGGGACACGAGGAAUCCUGUCUGAAUCCGGGUCGACCACGAUCCAACCCUAAAUACUAAUACCAGAUCGAUAGUGCACAAGUACCGUGAGGGAAAGGUGAAAAGAACUGAGGUGAUCAGAGUGAAAUAGAACCUGAAACCAUUUGCUUACAAUCAUUCAGAGCCCUAUGUAGCAAUACAGGGUGAUGGACUGCCUUUUGCAUAAUGAGCCUGCGAGUUGUGGUGUCUGGCAAGGUUAAGCAAACGCGAAGCCGUAGCGAAAGCGAGUCUGAAUAGGGCGCUUAGUCAGAUGCUGCAGACCCGAAACGAAGUGAUCUAUCCAUGAGCAAGUUGAAGCUAGUGUAAGAACUAGUGGAGGACUGAACCCAUAGGCGUUGAAAAGCCCCGGGAUGACUUGUGGAUAGGGGUGAAAGGCCAAUCAAACUUCGUGAUAGCUGGUUCUCUCCGAAAUAUAUUUAGGUAUAGCGUUGUGUCGUAAUAUAAGGGGGUAGAGCACUGAAUGGGCUAGGGCAUACACCAAUGUACCAAACCCUAUCAAACUCCGAAUACCUUAUAUGUAAUCACAGCAGUCAGGCGGCGAGUGAUAAAAUCCGUCGUCAAGAGGGAAACAACCCAGACUACCAGCUAAGGUCCCUAAAUCUUACUUAAGUGGAAAACGAUGUGAAGUUACUUAAACAACCAGGAGGUUGGCUUAGAAGCAGCCAUCCUUUAAAGAAAGCGUAAUAGCUCACUGGUCUAGUGAUUUUGCGCGGAAAAUAUAACGGGGCUAAAGU